rnacentral:misc_RNA from 1 species
UCUCCGUAGGUGAACCUGCGGAGGGAUCAUUACUGAGUGAGGGCCUCCGGGCCUGACCUCCAACCCUUUGUGAACCAAACUUGUUGCUUCGGGGGCGACCCUGCCGUUCGCGGCGUGGGGCCCCCGGAGCCCAUCAAACCCUGCGUAACUAAGUCGUCGGAGUUUAAACAAAUUAAACAAAACUUUCAACAACGGAUCUCUUGGUUCCAGCAUCGAUGAAGAACGCAGC